CCUACGGGGCGCAGCAGUGGGGAAUAUUGGACAAUGGGCGAAAGCCUGAUCCAGCCAUGCCGCGUGUGUGAAGAAGGCCUUCGGGUUGUAAAGCACUUUCAGUGGGGAAGAAAGCCUUGGGGCUAAUACCCUCGAGGAAGGACAUCACCCACAGAAGAAGCACCGGCUAACUCCGUGCCAGCAGCCGCGGUAAUACGGAGGGUGCGAGCGUUAAUCGGAAUUACUGGGCGUAAAGCGCGCGUAGGCGGUCUGAUAAGCCGGUUGUGAAAGCCCCGGGCUCAACCUGGGAACGGCAUCCGGAACUGUCAGGCUAGAGGGCAGGAGAGGAAGGUAGAAUUCCCGGUGUAGCGGUGAAAUGCGUAGAGAUCGGGAGGAAUACCAGUGGCGAAGGCGGCCUUCUGGACUGACACUGACGCUGAGGUGCGAAAGCGUGGGUAGCAAACAGGAUUAGAUACCCCAGUAGUC
rnacentral:rRNA from 1 species